rnacentral:rRNA from 1 species
CCUACGGGAGGCAGCAGUGGGGAAUUUUGCACAAUGGGGGAAACCCUGAUGCAGCGACGCCGCGUGAUUUAGAAGGCCUUCGGGUUGUAAAAAUCUUUUGUAUAGGAAGAAAAUGACAGUACUAUACGAAUAAGGUCCGGCUAAUUACGUGCCAGCAGCCGCGGUAAUACGUAAGGACCGAGCGUUGUCCGGAAUCAUUGGGCGUAAAGGGUACGUAGGCGGUUAACUAAGUUAGAAGACAAAGGCUAUAGCUCAACUAUAGUAAGCUUUUAAAACUGGUUAACUUGAGAGAUGGAAGGGAAAGUGGAAUUCCUAGUGUAGCGGUGAAAUUCGCAGAUAUUAGGAGGAAUACCGGUGGCGAAGGCGACUUUCUGGCCAUUAUCUGACGCUGAGGUACGAAAGCGUGGGUAGCAAACAGGAUUAGAUACCCCAGUAGGC